CAAAAAGGUGGCAACAACUGGUGUGAGAACUACUGCAAAACAGAGUAGUCCUCAGUGGAUACCGUCACCUACCUCAACGGCCCACCCACUAAGUCUACAGUAAUGGUAUGAACAGGAUAAUAAGGAAAGCUAGAAAGAACUCUACAGCUACAUGCCUCUAUUCUAUCGCUACCAAAACAACUAUCUUUAGACAAAACCAUGCAUUACUAGCUACCGCUGACCCAAUCUCACACGGGCUGCCGAAACGGACCCACCCUGCCUGUAACCAAGCUACACCAUACACCACCUACG
rnacentral:lncRNA from 1 species